ACAGGGAAUUGAACCAGUGAACUCUUGGUUCCUGGGUCAGUGCUUAUGUUGAACCACACUGGCUGGGCAUGCCUUUGCUUUUUUGAUAAUUUCAGCAGGGCAAAAUAACCUAGGGGAGGAAAAGAAGGGUGACUAGGAAGUUUACUAUUAACCUGGUGUUUUUCCAGUUUUCCAUCUGUUUCUUUAUGAUCAACCUUGGAGAUUAUUAAUGAAUUACUAAGUAUUAGUCUUAGGAAAGACUACUUAAGGUACUUUCUUAUAUCCAUCUCUUUUUCUAGGUACGCAAAGAGAACCAGUGGUGUGAAGAGAAGUGAAAAGUUGUGCCUGACACUGUAACACUGUGUGGCCUUCCUGUCCAGGAUUAUUGUACAAUGAAUAGCUAUGCUUCUGGGCCAUUCAAGAUAGUUAACAGCUCAGAAGAUCCUAGCCCUGGGACUUCCUAUAAAAGAGAAACACCUUCAAAUCAGGAAAUCCCUGCUAGUUUUGCCAUGCUAAGCCAUCACAAUAUCCUGAGCACAGUGGGAGCAGCUGCAACGGGAGAGGGCUCCAGAUCUGUAUUUCAAGCAAAUAUGCCAGUUGUGUGGGAACAUAUACAGGACGUGUUAGGUUAUUUUGUCUCAGGUCUCAGAAAACGAGGCUGGCAGUAAGGUGGAACUGGUAUGGUAUUUGAAGUUGAAUUGGACACUCUCAAGUCACUGAGACCUCAUAGGAAUGUGUGUGAUCCGGGAGGGUUUGAAUUUCCUCUUUGAUGUCAGUUUUUUAAAAAGGCUGGCUUGAUUUUAACAAUGUUGCCAAAGCCCCCCUUCCUACCCUCACAUACACAAAGAGUGCAUUGUUCAUGUACCCAGUGUACUCUAAAUAAGACAUCUAAUCAGAUGCAGCAACCUAGUCUUGCUUGCAUAAGCCUUGGUUAGAAUGUAGUUUUUUGAAACAUCUAGGCCAGUAGCCAGAGCGGAAUUCUUUAAAUGGGACAGAUGUCAAGAGAAUGGCUGGUCUCCUCUAGCACCCUUCCAGAAAAAAGCAACUCCAAGAUUACAAUUUCCAGUGGCCUACUUUAAAUAGGCACUACUCUGACACACAAAAUCCAAAAAAUAGAACUCAGUGAAAAUUACAAUGCAUGAUGGUGGCCCAGUGGUUGGUUGACUGACCUAUUGAGGUGGCUUUAUGACACCUUUUACAUUCAUGAUGGGUCUUAAAGUUAACAAUGUACUUUAAUGGAAGCUGCUGUGUAAAAAAUAGGUUGUAGAAUUAUCAAAUUUCAGGUUUUAUAUAAAAAUAUGGAGAUACCUUAAGCACCUUCAUACAGUUUUGGGGAGGAAAGCGUUCUAUUUUUUUUGGAGUUUAUACCAGUACAUAAAAAGACUUAUUUUCCUUGUAAUAGGAUAUGUACUUAUGGAGUGGUUAGUCUAAUCUCAACUCUCAGAAAAUGGAGCCUAGUGGUCUGUACAUCUAUUUCUAGUUGGAUUGUCUUAGGGUUUGUGGAUAGCUGUUUCCAACAUAGUCUUAGGGGGGUGGGAGGCAGGCUGGCCUGUGCCUGCAUCAAUUUUUAGGUCAGGGUUGGUGGGUUCAGAGCAAGGCUUGGAAUGGGAGCUGCAGCGUGAGCCGGGCAGGCCCAAGCCCCUUAAGGGGAGGUGAGAGUAAUCCCCGACUUCUAUAGGUUGAGUCUUUAACAUGUGUACCAUAGUAGAGAAGAAACCCCAAGUUUCAUGGCUGUGAAGAAAAGAAUUAUCAUCCUGUUUUCUGAAACAGCUUAUUCCUCAGGGUCAAGCUUGGGGGCGGGGAGGGGCAUACAAGAGGAAAAAGUAUCUUUAUUCUCACGUUCAAAGUUUUUCUAUGAUGAUGCAUUAACAAUACAAAAAUAUUUUGAAUACUACAAUGGUCCUUUUUCCUCAAAACUUCCUGCAACACUACACUAGAAUACAUGAUCUUUGGAAUCUGAGAAGCCAGUGGCUAAAGUAGGUAUUAAAGGCAUUUGUUGAAGGGUGUAUGUGGGUACAGGGACAGCCCUUUUUCUUUGGAUUGAGGCUAUGUAUGGUGAGGAGGCAAAAAAAGUUAAAUUAAAAAGAUUUUUUUAAAGGCUCAGGGUUGAAGCUUAGCUCAUAAAUGGGUUAAAUUAGGCUGUGGUGAAAACCCAGUGUCUAUCCGUAAAGGUUUUCUGGGCUUAUUGUUUUGGUUAUAAUGGUCCUCAUUCCCACAGAACCAUAGGAAAUCUGAAGCUGGCCUGGUUUCAUGCUGAAAGAUACUGGCAGUCACAAAAGGUUGGGUUUGCCCUCAACACUGCCCAAGGGGUGGAUAAGCUGGAAAUGGAUCCAUAACAAAGGCCCUCAGAAUGGGGAGGGAUGCACACUGGAUUUGGGGCCAUAACUUCUUUGAACUAUUGACUACAGCCACUAGUAGCAGGCCUUGGAGCUUUGAUAUCAGGGCUUCUUAGGCGAUUGCGUUUCUCAGGAAUCAUUUCCAAGUAAUUUGAAGUAGAGAGCCAGAUUAAGUAGCGUCAGGUUUUUCUGUUGCCUAGGGUAUAGAUUUAAACUAACUUGUUCAUCCCAUCCACUUAUAAGCUCCUGGGAAUUCGGCAGGAUUCCUCUGGCCCACUUUAAAAAUGGUAGCUAGUUUUUUAUAAAACAUGGCUUUUCCAGGCAUUCAAGAGAAAAGCACUGUCAUUUUGAGCUUUGUGGUUGUGACCAGGCUUACAUGUGUAAUAAACCAACUCAUUCUUGGUCCAUGAAGUGUCCGGUAUGGGGAGGGUGUGGCAGUGCAGGGGGAGUGAGGAGGCAGGGUAGAGAAAGCAGCUGAACUCAGGGUAGUCCAUCUAUGAUCUAUAGCAGGAAAGGAAGGGAGGCAGGGGCAUCUGGCUAACCAGACAGAUGGUAAAAUAGACGCAGGCUGCCACCGGCACAGGAGAUGCCCUUAAAUCAAAUGA